AACAUGACUUUGAUCUGCGUCCUCAUCUGGACUCUCCUCUGCUGCUGCUUCACAGAGUCCAAAAUCCAAGUCACAGUGACUCAGCCUGCAGCAGUGAGCUCUGCUAUUGGAGGCUCCGUCUCCAUCAGAUGCAGGACCAGUCAGGAUGUUUAUUAUAGCACAUACCACUAUUUAUCCUGGUACCAACAGAGAGAUGGAGAAGCUCCUAAACUCCUCAUUUACAGGGCUACCACUCGACAAUCAGGGAUUUCUGAUCGUUUUACAGGCAGUGGAUCAAACUCUGACUUCACUCUGACCAUCAGUGGAGUCCAGGCUGAAGAUGCAGCAGUUUACUACUGUAAGGGUCUUUUUGACUGCAGCAAGUAUGACUGCUUCACACAGUGAAAAAUGGUCGUACAAAAA